rnacentral:rRNA from 1 species
ACGGGAGGCAGCAGUGGGGAAUAUUGGGCAAUGGGCGAAAGCCUGACCCAGCGACGCCGCGUGAGGGAAGAAGGUCUUCGGUAUGUAAAGCUCUAUCAGCAGGAAAGAUAAUGACGGUACCUGACUAAGAAGCACCGGCUAAAUACGUGCCAGCAGCCGCGGUAAUACGUAUGGUGCAAGCGUUAUCCGGAUUUACUGGGUGUAAAGGGAGCGUAGACGGCAUGGCAAGCCAGAUGUGAAAGGCAGGGGCUCAACUCCUGGACUGCAUUUGGAACUGUCAAGCUAGAGUAUCGGAGAGGUAAGUGGAAUUCCUAGUGUAGCGGUGAAAUGCGUAGAUAUUAGGAGGAACACCAGUGGCGAAGGCGGCUUGCUGGACGAUAACUGACGUUGGGGCUCGAAAGCGUGGGGAGCAAACAGGAUUAGAUACCCUGGUA